CUUUAAAGGUGAAACCGCGAACGGCUCAUUAUAACAGCUAUUAUAUACUUGAUUUUGAUGUCCUACGUGGAUAACUGUGGUAAUUCUAGAGCUAAUACAUGCACCAAAGCUCCGAUUUUCUGACGAGCGCAUCUAUUAGAUUAAAACCAAUCGGGUUUCGGCCCGUAAAUUGGUGACUCUGAAUAACUGUAGCUGAUCGCAUGGUCCAGAACCGG
rnacentral:rRNA from 1 species